rnacentral:rRNA from 1 species
AACCAUCGGCUGAACGGGAACUCUGACACAGGUUUGCAUUAAGUCGUCAGCUCGUGUCGUGAGAUGUUGGGUUAAGUCCCGCAACGAGCGCAACCUUGUCCUUAGUUGCCAGCACGUAAUGGUGGGAACUCUAAGGAGACUGCCGGUGACAACCGGAGGAAGGUGGGGAUGACGUCAAGUCAUCAUGGCCCUUACGGCCUGGGCUACACACGUGCUACAAGUGGUCGGCACCACGAGGAGCUUGCCCAUCCGCGAGGCUGAGACGCUACACUCUCAAUCCGACCGUAUUUCCGGAUCGCCCGCGUCGUGCCAACCCUCGACUAGCGUGAACGCUCGGAAUCACUAAGUACAUCGCGAAGUCAGAAUGUC